UGGUGGAGUGAUUUGUCUGGUUAAUUCCGUUAACGAACGAGACCUCAGCCUGCUAAUUAUGCCUGCGUCUUAUUUGAGACGUCGGUGCAUCUUAGAGGGACUGUCGGUGAUCAACCGACGGAAGUUGGAGGUAAUAACA
rnacentral:rRNA from 1 species